rnacentral:rRNA from 1 species
UGGGGAAUAUUGCACAAUGGAGGGAACUCUGAUGCAGCGACGCCGCGUGAGUGAUGAAGGAAUUCGUUUCGUAAAACUCUGUUCUAUGGGAAGAAAAGGACUGUACCAUAGGGGAAAGCUCCGGCUAAAUACGUGCCAGCAGCCGCGGUAAUACGUAUGGAGCGAGCGUUGUCCGGAAUUAUUGGGCGUAAAGGGUGCGCAGGCGGCUUUACAAGUUGGAUGUGAAAUAUUGUGGCUCAACCACAAACGUGCAUCCAAAACUGCAAAGCUUGAGUUAAGGAGAGGUAAGUGGAAUUCCUGGUGUAGCGGUGGAAUGCGUAGAUAUCAGGAGGAAUACCGGUGGCGAAGGCGACUUACUGGACUUAAACUGACGCUCAGGCACGAAAGCGUGGGGAGCAAACAGG